UGGGUGACAAAGUGAGUCACUGUCUCAAAAAAAAAAAAAACCAAAACAGGCCUGAGGCCGCUGCUAGCCGGAGUGUCACCAUGAAGUUCAAUCCCUUCGUGAACUCGGACCGCAGGAGAAACCGCAAAUGUCACUUCAGUGCCCCCUUGCACGUGCACAGGAAGAUCAUGUCAUCCCCGCUCUCCAAGGAGCUGCAGCAGAAGUACAAUGUCCGCUCCACGCCCAUCCGCAAGGACGACGAGGUCCAGGUAGUUCAAGGACACUACAAAGGUCAGCAAAUUGGCAAGGUAGUCCAGGUGUACAGAAAGAAAGAUAUCAUCUACAUCGAGCGGGUGCAGCGUGAGUAGGCCAACAGCGCAACCGUCCAUGUGGGUACUCACCCAAGCAAGGUGGUUAUCACCAGGCUAAAUAUCAACAAGGAUCAGAAAAAAAUUAUUGAACACAAAGCCAAGUCUCGACAAGUCAGAAAAGAGAAAGGCAAAUAUAAGGAGGAACUUAUUGAGAAAAUGCAGGAAUAAAUAUAACCUGUUGUGCAACCAUGGUUUAACUGAAAUUUUUAGGCUAGUGUGUGUUUCUUUGGAACUUUUCAGAAUGU